UACGUAGGGUGCGAGCGUUAAUCGGAAUUACUGGGCGUAAAGUGUGCGCAGGCGGCCGCGCAAGUCGAGUGUGAAAGCCCCGGGCUUAACUUGGGAAUUGCGCUCGAAACUACGUGGCUGGAGUGUGGCAGAGGAAGGUGGAAUUCCAGGUGUAGCGGUGAAAUGCGUAGAGAUCUGGAGGAACACCGAUGGCGAAGGCAGCCUUCUGGGCCGACACUGACGCUCAUGCACGAAAGCGUGGGGAGCAAACAGG
rnacentral:rRNA from 1 species